rnacentral:lncRNA from 1 species
UGGUGUGACUCAAUAUGUGAUUUUAGCUAUACACAAGACCUUCUCUCAACGACAAAACAUGUUAGAGAUUAGAGAUUCCAAGAGCUUUUCACAUACACAAAAUGCCAUUGAAUUCAGGUAGUUUGGUAAUUGUGUCAACUAAUUUAUUCUCAGAUGCAACAUGUUCAAUGACACCAAGUUUUUCCUCAAUCAAUUCUAUAACAGGAUGAUGUCUAAUUUCUAUUUGCUUAGUCAAUGAUAAUUGAACAUGAUUCACGAUUAUGCAGAUGACAUUCAAGUUAUUGCAUUGAACAUCAAAAGGGUCAAAAAGACUACCAGACUCAAUGAGUGUCGAUGUCUUCCCCAAGACACAGUUAAAUAGAUUUCUCAAGUCUGUUUAUUCAAAUUUAGCAAGGUAAACUGACGCCUUGUUCCACAUGUCUUCUUCCACGUAGAAAGUCUGAUUAACAUUGCGAGAUCCUUUCACAUAUUUGAUUGUAUGCUCAACAACCACUAUGUGUGAUCCUCCCGAACCAGCUUGAAUGCUC